GAUUAACGCUGGCGGCAUGCCUAAUACAUGCAAGUCGAACGAGAGUAGCAAUACUCUAGUGGCGAACGGGUGAGUAACACGUAGGUAACCUGCCUUAGAGACGAGGAUAACUACUGGAAACGGUAGCUAAACUAGGAUAGUAUAUUUUGGGGUCGAUCCCGAAACUAUUUAAAAGUUACCUUAUGGGAAGUAACUCUAAGAAUGGGCCGUGCGGUGGCAUUAGCUAGUUAGGUGAGGUAACGGCCCACCAAGGACGACGAUGCAUAGCUGUGCUGAGAGGCAAAUCAGCCACACUGGGACUGAGACACGGCCCAGACUCCUACGGGAGGCAGCAGUAGGGAAUUUUCGGCAAUGGGCGAAAGCCUGACCGAGCAAUGCCGCGUGAAUGAAGAAAUUACUUC
rnacentral:rRNA from 1 species